UACGGGGGGGGGCAAGCGUUGUUCGGAAUUACUGGGCGUAAAGGGUUCGUAGGUGGCCAACUAAGUCAGACGUGAAAUCCCUCAGCUUAACUGGGGAACUGCGUCUGAGACUGGAUGGCUUGAGUGCAGGAGAGGAACGCGGAAUUCCAGGUGUAGCGGUGAAAUGCGUAGAUAUCUGGAGGAACACCGGUGGCGAAGGCGGCGUUCUGGACUGCAACUGACACUGAGGAACGAAAGCCAGGGGAGCAAACGGG
rnacentral:rRNA from 1 species